GGCUCGUUGGUCUAGGGGUAUGAUUCUCGCUUGGGUUGCGAGAGUCCCGGGUUCAAAUCCCGGACGAGCCC
rnacentral:tRNA from 1 species